UUUUUUUUAAUUUACUAAAAGAGGAAAAGGAACUAACAAGGAUUCCCCUAGUAACUGCGAGUGAAGCGGGAAAAGCUCAAAUUUAAAAUCUGGUAGUCUCUGGCUGCCCGAGUUGUAAUCUGGAGAAGUGUUUUCUGUGCUGGGCCGUGUACAAGUCUCUUGGAAUAGAGCGUCAUAGAGGGUGAGAAUCCCGUCUUUGACACGGACAUCCAGUGCUCUGUGAUGCACUCUCAAAGAGUCGAGUUGUUUGGGAAUGCAGCUCAAAAUGGGUGGUAAAUUCCAUCUAAAGCUAAAUAUUGGCAAGAGACCGAUAGCGAACAAGUACCGUGAGGGAAAGAUGAAAAGAACUUUGGAAAGAGAGUUAAACAGUACGUGAAAUUGUUGAAAGGGAAACGCUUGAAGUCAGUCGCGUCUAGCAAGGAUCAGCCCUUCUCGGAGGGUGUAUUUCUUGCUUGACGGGUCAACAUCAAUUUUGACUACUGGAAAAAGGCCAGGGGAAGGUGGCACCUUCGGGUGUGUUAUAGCCUUUGGUCAUAUACAGUAGUUGGGAUUGAGGAAUUCAGCAUGCCUUCAUGGCUGGGGUUCGCCCACAUUCAUGCUUAGGAUGUUGGCAUAAUGGCUUUAAGCGACCCGCUGAAAAAAGCGGCGGA
rnacentral:rRNA from 1 species